UCCAUGCGGCGUGCUAUACAUGCAAGUCGAACGAACUCUGGUAUUGAUUGGUGCUUGCAUCAUGAUUUACAUUUGAGUGAGUGGCGAACUGGUGAGUAACACGUGGGAAACCUGCCCAGAAGCGGGGGAUAACACCUGGAAACAGAUGCUAAUACCGCAUAACAACUUGGACCGCAUGGUCCGAGCUUGAAAGAUGGCUUCGGCUAUCACUUUUGGAUGGUCCCGCGGCGUAUUAGCUAGAUGGUGGGGUAACGGCUCACCAUGGCAAUGAUACGUAGCCGACCUGAGAGGGUAAUCGGCCACAUUGGGACUGAGACACGGCCCAAACUCCUACGGGAGGCAGCAGUAGGGAAUCUUCCACAAUGGACGAAAGUCUGAUGGAGCAACGCCGCGUGAGUGAAGAAGGGUUUCGGCUCGUAAAACUCUGUUGUUAAAGAAGAACAUAUCUGAGAGUAACUGUUCAGGUAUUGACGGUAUUUAACCAGAAAGCCACGGCUAACUACGUGCCAGCAGCCGCGGUAAUACGUAGGUGGCAAGCGUUGUCCGGAUUUAUUGGGCGUAAAGCGAGCGCAGGCGGUUUUUUAAGUCUGAUGUGAAAGCCUUCGGCUCAACCGAAGAAGUGCAUCGGAAACUGGGAAACUUGAGUGCAGAAGAGGACAGUGGAACUCCAUGUGUAGCGGUGAAAUGCGUAGAAA
rnacentral:rRNA from 1 species